AAAUCUAAUAUAGAAAUCUGACCCAAUUUACCAUCUGAAAUCGCAAAUUCAUCUCCUUCAAUUUUAGGGUUCUUACCAAAAUCCAAAAAGUUUGAAAAAAAAGGGGAAUUUUCUGAAAAUGGUUGGAGCAUCAUCAACUGGAAUGUUCAAGUUUUUGAAGCCAUCUAUGAGACCUCAACCUACUGAUAUCAAAGCCGCCGUUGGUUGGGGUGUUGCUGCCGCCACUGCUGGCCUUUAUCUUGUUCAGCCCUGGGGUUGGAUCAAGAGGACUUUUAUUGAAAAGCAAGAAGAGCAGAAUUAAAACAUGUUUUAGCUUGCAAAAGUACCUCCAGUCUUCAGAAUAUAUUGAACUCAGCCUUGAAUCUAAUAAAUACCUUUUUUUUUUUUGUUAAUUUCUGCCAAUCAGAUUACAAGGCUUUUUUGUCAUGAGUUUUGGCAAUCGACUAUGAAAUCGAAUUUAGAUGAUUACUGUUGAUCGUUUGAUGUUUUAUUUCAUGCUUGCAAUAAGCACUUCUGAUUUCUAUUGGAGACUGAUUUGCAUGUAGGUUAUCCUGGCAUAUCACUUGCUGUACAUUUUUUAAUUUAGUUCUGCUGAAUGUUUUCAGGAUUGAGAAUUCAAUAUUAA